rnacentral:rRNA from 1 species
AUUGAACGCUGGCGGCAGGCCUAACACAUGCAAGUCGAGCGGAUGAAGGGAGCUUGCUCCUGGAUUCAGCGGCGGACGGGUGAGUAAUGCCUAGGAAUCUGCCUGGUAGUGGGGGAUAACGUCCGGAAACGGGCGCUAAUACCGCAUACGUCCUGAGGGAGAAAGUGGGGGAUCUUCGGACCUCACGCUCUCAGAUGAGCCUAGGUCGGAUUAGCUAGUUGGUGGGGUAAAGGCCUACCAAGGCGACGAUCCGUAACUGGUCUGAGAGGAUGAUCAGUCACACUGGAACUGAGACACGGUCCAGACUCCUACGGGAGGCAGCAGUGGGGAAUAGUGGACAAUGGGCGAAAGCCUGAUCCAGCCAUGCCGCGUGUGUGAAGAAGGUCUUCGGAUUGUAAAGCACUUUAAGUUGGGAGGAAGGGCAGUAAGUUAAUACCUUGCUGUUUUGACGUUACCAACAGAAUAAGCACCGGCUAACUUCGUG